rnacentral:rRNA from 1 species
GACGAACGCUGGCGGCGUGCCUAAUACAUGCAAGUCGAACGCAGUGGGGACGGUUGAGUAACACGUGGGUAACCUCCCAUCAGAGGGGAUAACACUUGGAAACAGGUGCUAAACCGAUACUGAUGGAUGGACCCGCGGUGCAUUAGCUAGUUGGUGAGGUAACGGCGCACCAAGGCCACGAUGCAUAGCCGAGCUGAGAGGUAGAUCGGCCAAACUGGAACUGAGACACGGCCCAGACUCCUACGGGAGGCAGCAGUAGGGAAUAUGCGGCAAUGGACGAAAGUCUGACCGAGCAACGCCGCGUGAGUGAAGAAGGUUUUCGGGUCGUAAAACACUGUUGUCAGAGAAGCGGUAUCUAACCAGAAAGCCACGGCUAACUACGUGCCAGCAGCCGCGGUAAUUC